rnacentral:ribozyme from 14 species
AAAGAGAAAAAGAUAGAAAUUGAAAAGGAAUUGGACACUAAUCGCCUGUCUAUCAAGUUGUAAUUCUUUGGCUUUUUCCUUUUCAUAUUCUUGUAAUCUCAUUCUUGGGAUAUUGAAUAGAA